rnacentral:pre_miRNA from 1 species
CUUGUACUCCCUCCGUCCGAAAAUACUUGUCAUUGAAAUGGAUGUAUCUAGAUGUAUUUUAGUUCUAGACACAUCCAUUUUGAAGACAAGUAAUUCUGGACGGAGGGAGUACUUG